rnacentral:misc_RNA from 1 species
GAUGAAGAACGUAGCGAAAUGCGAUAAGUAGUGUGAAUUGCAGAAUUCAGUGAAUCAUCGAAUCUUUGAACGCACAUUGCGCCCUUUGGUAUUCCUUAGGGCAUGCCUGUUCGAGCGUCAUUUAAACCUUCAAGCUCAGCUUGGUGAUGGGUGACUGUCCCCCCCUCGCGGGGGGACUCGCCUCAAAAACAUUGGCGGCCGGUACAUUGGCUUCGAGCGCAGCAGAAACGCGGUCUCGAGCCCGGUGGAUCGGCUCCCAUAAGUCUAUUCUUUUAUUUUGACCUCGGAUCAGGUAGGGAUACCCGCUGAACUUAAGCAUAUCAAUAAGCGGAGGA